rnacentral:rRNA from 1 species
CGGUGGAGCAUGUGGUUUAAUUCGAAGCAACGCGAAGAACCUUACCAGGCCUUGACAUGCAGAGAACUUUCCAGAGAUGGAUUGGUGCCUUCGGGAACUCUGACGCAGGUGCUGCAUGGCUGUCGUCAGCUCGUGUCGUGAGAUGUUGGGUUAAGUCCCGUAACGAGCGCAACCCUUGUCCUUAGUUACCAGCACGUUAUGGUGGGCACUCUAAGGAGACUGCCGGUGACAAACCGGAGGAAGGUGGGGAUGACGUCAGGUCAUCAUGGCCCUUACGGCCAGGGCUACACACGUACUACAAUGGCCGAUACAAAGGGCAGCGACACUGCGAGGUGAAGCCAAUCCCGUAAAAUCGGUCUCAGUCCGGAUUGGAGUCUGCAACUCGACUCCAUGAAGUUGGAAUCGCUAGUAAUCGUGGAUCAGCAUGCCACGGUGAAUACGUUCCCGGGCCUU